UCUUAUUUGCAAUCGGAACACAACCCGAGGUAUCAUUUUCCAGAACAGGUUAGUUAUUUAGUUGCACAGACAAAUGUUGCCUCUGUUCCAAAAAACUCUGAACAGCACUUUUCUGGGGGUCUGCAGCCCAUCCAAGAUCCCUUUAGUUUCCAGUGGUAACCAGCCAAACGUACAAAAAGCCUAAGUCAGUAUUGUGAGCUCUAGGCAUGACUGAUUUACCCUGUCAUUAAAUUUCCCUUCAACUGUUCACUUCUGUGCAACUUAAAACUUUACUUGAUAGUCAUCUGUUUUGUGGGUUUUUUGUUUGUUUUGUUUCCCCUCCCUCUUAACGGCACCUCUGUUAGCAAAUUCUACUUUAAAGUAGGUGUCGUUAGUAAUUCUUUAAACCUGUCUCAAUUACCAGUGACAUGCUAAUCCCAGGUCAGGCAUCGGUAUUGUUUAAUGGUCCAUUCAACCUCAAGUGAUCUCAGCAGAUUGCAUCUAAAAAUGUAAAUGUCGAGCCUACUGGGAACUGCAUUCCAAAGUAUUUUAGUGAAGACUACAAUGGCGGAUUGAGUCUGCUUGUUCAAGUGGUCGUGGACCAGGGUAUGUUUUGUUUGUGUUUUUUUUUUUUUGUGGAAUAAUGUUUGUGGAUCUUUGUUUGCAUACCUACUGGCUUUUGAUUGCUGCAGGGUGACGCAAAGCUGCCACAGGGACACAGUGCGGGUUAUGCAAAGGAAACUGAAGUGGUGCAUCAAGUAUGAUUUGUCAACUAGUCAUUAAAGCAUCCAAGCUCUA